rnacentral:lncRNA from 1 species
UUUUAGACACUACUCCCUGAGCUGCCUUCACAUUAUAAGGUAUUAUUUUAGACACUUACUCCCCGAGCUGCCUUCACAUUAUGAGGUAUUAUUUAAGACACUAACUCUCCGUGCUGCCUCCACAUCAUGAGGUAUUAUCUUAGACACUAACUCCCCGAGCUGCCUCCACAUCAUGAGGUAUUAUUUUAGACCCUAACUCUCCGAGCUGCCUUCACAUUAUGAGGGUGGACAAUCGCUGGGCAUUUUGCUGCAAAGAUUUUUCUUCAAGAUGGACGAAUAGACGGGAUCCCAUGGAACCAAACUUCUCGAGAAGAAAAUCAAGAAGUUCAUGGUGAAAGUUAAAAAAUACAUUUAAAGG